rnacentral:rRNA from 1 species
UGGGGAAUUUUGGACAAUGGGGGAAACCCUGAUCCAGCCAUCCCGCGUGUGCGAUGAAGGCCUUCGGGUUGUAAAGCACUUUUGGCAGGAAAGAAACGUCAUGGGUUAAUACCCUGUGAAACUGACGGUACCUGCAGAAUAAGCACCGGCUAACUACGUGCCAGCAGCCGCGGUAAUACGUAGGGUGCAAGCGUUAAUCGGAAUUACUGGGCGUAAAGCGUGCGCAGGCGGUUCGGAAAGAAAGAUGUGAAAUCCCAGGGCUUAACCUUGGAACUGCAUUUUUAACUACCGAGCUAGAGUGUGUCAGAGGGAGGUGGAAUUCCGCGUGUAGCAGUGAAAUGCGUAGAUAUGCGGAGGAACACCGAUGGCGAAGGCAGCCUCCUGGGAUAACACUGACGCUCAUGCACGAAAGCGUGGGGAGCAAACAGG